GACGAACGCUGGCGGCGUGCCUAAUACAUGCAAGUAGAACGCUGAAGAGAGGAGCUUCCUCUUCUUGGAUGAGUUGCGAACGGGUGAGUAACGCGUAGGUAACCUGCCUUGUAGCGGGGGAUAACUAUUGGAAACGAUAGCUAAUACCGCAUAACAAUGGAUGACACAUGUCUUUUAUUUGAAAGGGGCAAUUGCUCCACUACAAGAUGGACCUGCGUUGUAUUAGCUAGUAGGUGAGGUAAUGGCUCACCUAGGCGACGAUACAUAGCCGACCUGAGAGGGUGAUCGGCCACACUGGGAAUGAGACACGGCCCAGACUCCUACGGGAGGCAGCAGUAGGGAAUCUUCGGCAAUGGGGGCAACCCUGACCGAGCAACGCCGCGUGAGUGAAGAAGGUUUUCGGAUCGUAAAGCUCUGUUGUAAGUCAAGAAAGGGUGUGAGAGUGGAAAGUUCACACUGUGACGGUAGCUUACCAGAAAGGGACGGCUAACUACGUG
rnacentral:rRNA from 1 species